AAAGCGCGCGUAGGCGGUCCUUUAAGUCUGAUGUGAAAGCCCACGGCUUAACCGUGGAGGGUCAUUGGAAACUGGAGGACUUGAGUGCAGAAGAGGAGAGUGGAAUUCCACGUGUAGCGGUGAAAUGCGUAGAGAUGUGGAGGAACACCAGUGGCGAAGGCGACUCUCUGGUCUGUAACUGACGCUGAGGUGCGAAAGCGUGGGUAGCGAACAGGAUUAGAUACCCUGGUAGUCCACGCCGUAAACGAUGAGUGCUAGGUGUUAGGGGGUUUCCGCCCCUUAGUGCUGAAGUUAACGCAUUAAGCACUCCGCCUGGGGAGUACGGCCGCAAGGCUGAAACUCAAAAGAAUUGACGGGGGCCCGCACAAGCGGUGGAGCAUGUGGUUUAAUUCGAAGCAACGCGAAGAACCUUACCAGGUCUUGACAUCCUCUGAUCGCUCUAGAGAUAGAGUUUCCCCUUCGGGGGCAGAGUGACAGGUGGUGCAUGGUUGUCGUCAGCUCGUGUCGUGAGAUGUUGGGUUAAGUCCCGCAACGAGCGCAACCCUUGAUCUUAGUUGCCAGCAUUAAGUUGGGCACUCUAAGGUGACUGCCGGCGACAAACCGGAGGAAGGUGGGGAUGACGUCAAAUCAUCAUGCCCCUUAUGACCUGGGCUACACACGUGCUACAAUGGAUGGAACAAAGGGCAGCAAAGCCGCGAGGCCAAGCAAAUCCCAUAAAACCAUUCUCAGUUCGGAUUGUAGGCUGCAACUCGCCUACAUGAAGCCGGAAUCGCUAGU
rnacentral:rRNA from 1 species